rnacentral:lncRNA from 1 species
UCUCUCACAAUUUAUAUCAUUGUUAUGGGAUCCAUCAUCGGUCAAUUACUACUUCUAGUAUCAAUCAGUGAAGUCCACUGAUCGCCACCGAACUCAGCAGCUAGGCUCUGCUCUAGACCUCCACUGUCUGGCCCAGCGAAGCAAGCUCCUCAAAUUUCAUUCACUAGGAUCAACCGCCCUGAAAAUGAUUGAACUCCACUGAAGUCUGUGCAGUUGACUUGACUUUCUUCUUCUUCUUCUUGUCCCCUCUUCCUACUUCUGCUUACUGAUUUAAUUCUGUGGUAAUUCAGGGGAUCAAUAUGAUGGAUAAAUGAGUACACGAGCUUUGAGUUACUGCGCAUUCAUUUUG